GCAUUUAUUAGAUAAAAAGCCAGUUCAUGCUUUUACAGUAUGAAAAUUGGUGAUUUAUAAUAACUUAGCAAAUCGCAAAGUGAAAACAGGCGAUAAAUCAUUCAAGUUUCUGACCUAUCAGCUUUCGACGGUAUGGUAUUGGCUUACCGUGGCAGUGACGGUUAACGGGGGAUUAGGGUUCGAUUCCGGAGAGGGAGCCUGAGAAACGGCUACCACAUCUAAGGAAGGCAGCAGGCGCGCAAAUUACCCAAUUCUAACAGUUUGAGAGAGGUAGUAACAAGAAAUAACAAUACAAGGCAGUUAAAAUGCUUUGUAAUUGGAAUGAUAGAAAUUUAAACCCUUUUUAAAGUAUCAAUUGGAGGGCAAGUCUGGUGCCAGCAGCCGCGGUAAUUCCAGCUCCAAUAGCGUAUAUUAAAAUUGUUGCAGUUAAAAAGCUCGUAGUUGAAGUUCUGCUGAAAGUAACCGGUCUGCUUUUAAUAAAAGUGGUAUCUUGGUAUGUAUUUAGCAAUGAUGUCCUUUGAAGUGUUUUUUACUUUAUUGUAAUAAAGCAUAUUCAGGACUUUUACUUUGAGAAAAUUAGAGUGUUUCUAGCAGGCUGACGCUUUGAAUACUGCAG
rnacentral:rRNA from 1 species